rnacentral:lncRNA from 1 species
GGGAAGGGCCCAUCCCAAUCCCGAUUUACACGGGACCCAGCAUAAAAAGCCGCCCUUCCUUGCCCGGGAGGAGCCUCCAUGCCCCAGUCGGCCACUCCGCAGGCUGAGAUGGAGGCUGCAGCGGACAGGACAGGCGACCGACCUCAGGAAGAAACUUGGCAAAUCCCCGCCCAACACCCCCACAAGCAGCAGGGACAACCCCCAGACCCAAUAGCCAGCAGAAGGGGCUGCGGCAAACACCAGGCGGCAACAGAUAAGGCAGGGUGACUCUGCAGGGGCAGGGAGCGGGCAGAGAGGGCCCUGAGUACCCCCGUGUGGGAUGAGGUGGCUCCACCCCCCGGUGGCCCAGCCGAACCCACCCAGCCACAGAUGCUGUCCAACCCCCAAACCCACCUCCCCAUCUGG